AAACCAGCACCUCAAGUGGUCAGGAUGAUUAUUGGGCCUAAAGCAUCCGUAGCCUGCUUUGUCAGUUUUCGGUUAAAUCCAUACGCUCAACGUAUGGGCUGCCGGAAAUACUGCAUAGCUAGGGAGUGGGAGAGGUAGACGGUACUCGGGAGGAAGGGGUAAAAUCCUUUGAUCUCUCGAUGACCACCUGUGGCGAAGGCGGUCUACCAGAACACGUCCGACGGUGAGGGAUGAAAGCUGGGGGAGCAAACCGGAUUAGAAACCCGAGUAGUCC
rnacentral:rRNA from 1 species